rnacentral:misc_RNA from 1 species
GAUGAAGAACGUAGCGAAAUGCGAUAAGUAAUGUGAAUUGCAGAAUUCAGUGAAUCAUCGAAUCUUUGAACGCACAUUGCGCCCUUUGGUAUUCCUUAGGGCAUGCCUGUUCGAGCGUCAUUUAAACCUUCAAGCUCAGCUUGGUGUUGGGUGACUGUCCGCCGCCUCCGGGCGCGUGGACUCGCCUCAAAAUUAUUGGCGGCCGGUACAUUGGCUUCGAGCGCAGCAGAAACGCGAACUCGGGCCCGUCGUAUUGGCUCCCAGAAGCUAUCUUCACAAUUUUGACCUCGGAUCAGGUAGGGAUACCCGCUGAACUUAAGCAUAUCAAUAAGCGGAGGA